GUCUUACACUUGAUCUCUAAGGUAAGUUCAUGUGUUGACAAGUACAUAGA
rnacentral:snoRNA from 1 species